CAAACAAGGCAAUGCUUGCCACGCUUCCAAAAUGACUACUAAGUCUAACAUCAAUUAUCAACAAUUUAUCUUUGCAAUUUUAUGCAUUGCUUUGGUCUUCAUGAACUCGGGAGUAAUGAGUGAAGUUAUUGGCUAUAGUGCUUGCUUUGGCAAAGGACCAUGUCCAAAUGAUCAAGCUUGUUUCAAGUUUUGUAUAGGAAAUAGCUUCCCUAAAGGUGGCAAAUGUAUUGGAAAUGUAUGUUGUUGCCAGGAAUAAAUAUGUCUACAAUAGAGGUCGAAUAACUUAUAAAUACAAUAAUACAUCAUUUUCGUUUGAAUUA